GACAGAGGGGGCAAGCGUUGCUCGGAAUUACUGGGCGUAAAGGGCGCGUAGGCGGGAUGGCAAGUCGGUCGUGAAAUCCUUCGGCUCAACCCCGAAACUGCAUUUGAUACUGUGGUGCUCGAGUACUGGAGAGGAGAUUGGAAUUUACGGUGCAGCAGUGAAAUGCGUAGAUAUCGUAAGGAAGACCAGUGGCGAAGGCGAAUCUCUGGACAGUUACUGACACUGAGGCACGAAGGCCAGGGGAGCAAACGGG
rnacentral:rRNA from 1 species